GUGCCAGCAGCCGCGGUAAUACGGAGGGUGCAAGCGUUAAUCGGAAUUACUGGGCGUAAAGCGCAUGCAGGUGGUUUGUUAAGUCAGAUGUGAAAGCCCUGGGCUCAACCUAGGAAUCGCAUUUGAAACUGACAAGCUAGAGUACUGUAGAGGGGGGUAGAAUUUCAGGUGUAGCGGUGAAAUGCGUAGAGAUCUGAAGGAAUACCGGUGGCGAAGGCGGCCCCCUGGACAGAUACUGACACUCAGAUGCGAAAGCGUGGGGAGCAAACAGGAUUAGAUACC
rnacentral:rRNA from 1 species